AAGAGACUAUAGCGUUUUCAGUUGUUGAACCACUUCUAAAGAUAAACUGUACAUUUGACAGCAAAUUAUGUGAUAUAAAAUGAUCAAUUAUCCUUACAUGCACAGGCUUUUCAAUAACUUUAGCAAGCACUGAUGGCAUAGAAAUAGGUCUAAAAUUGUCUACAUUAUCCCCUUUCUCCCUUUUUAUAAAUCUGUUUUACUACUGAGUACUUUAAUCAUUCAUGAAACUGACCAUUCUUAAAGGAAAAAACACAAAUAUGGCUAAGUACAGGGCUACCAUGUGCAGCACAGGUAAUAUUCUGCUAGGCACACCACCAUAUCCAGAGUCCUUAGUUUUAGGGAUUUAAUUAUACAUUCAAUCUCCCCCUUGUCAUUUUCACAGAGGAGUAUUUCAAAUAUCAAUCUUGGAAAGGCAUUUUCCAAGACAGUUAUACAAAGGGCGUUCAAAACGUUUCACACAGUCGUCUCUAAUUAAUUAAUUAAUUUAUUUAUUUGAGGAGGAGAACGAAAUUUUUUAUGAACAUACUUGGAACAUUUAGCUAUAGGUUGGUAUAUAAAAGUAUUUCCUUUUAUUUACAUGUGAGCUAUAAUGGACCAUGAAGUAGAUGUCAGGUUGCGACAACAGUCGGUGAUGGAGUUCCUCUUCAAGACUGGCGAUGACUGCCAUGUCGAUUCACAGAAAGUUGUUCCCUAUUUAUGGGGAGGGUACAGUGGAUCACAGCAGUAUGCAGCGGUGGUUGCAGAGGUUUAAAGAAGGUGAUUCCUCUCUACUGGACAAUCCACGAUGCGGUAGACCAUCGAUGGCCGUGAGUGAUGUGAAUAAGGAGACCACUGAUCAAAUCAUCUGAAAUGACAGAUGUGUGAUGACAACAGUUUGCUGAAAUGACUCAUUCAUUACUGGGUAGUGUGGUAUCACUGGUACAGUCACUAGGGUACAGAAAAAUCUGUGCAUGUUGAGUGUCUAGAUUAUUGACACGAGAAAUGAAAACGACGAGGAAGAAUGUGUGUGAGGGUCUCAUAAAGACCUUUACUGAAGAGUGGAAACAGUGUUUUAUGGCGUCAUUACCCAGGAUGAAACAUUGUUGUUUUUCUCCAAACCUGAGAGAAAAAUCCAAUCCAUGGAGUGGCAUCAUCCGGGUUCCCCUCGGAAGAAGAUACCAAGACUUUCACAAAGACUUUUUCAGUGUGGUGUCAUUUUCAUUGACUUUUUGCAACCUGGCUCCACAAUUAACUGAGAUCGUUACUGUUUGUCAUUGGACAAGCUGCGAUGUGCCACAAGACCCACAGACCACGGCUUCAGGGUCGGCUCAUCAAACUACAUUAUGACAAUGCCAAACCCCCAUACAGCCCUUAUGACGCAGGAGAAAAUCAGGAAAAUGGGUUGGAAAAUUGUUCCUCAUCCUCCCACCAGUCCGGACUUGGCUCUGUCUGAUUUUUCUCUCUUUGGUCGUCUGAAGCCCCACCUGCGCAGUAAAACAUUUGAUAGUGAGAAAGACCUUAUUUCCUGUGUCCAGCAAUGAUGUAAGAGUCAAUCCCUUGAUUUUAUAAAAGUGCAUUUACAACAUGGAAAGAACGUUGAACCAGACCCAUCACAGCUGAUGGAGACUACAUUGAAUAGGCUCAAUGUAUAGCUAAAUGUUCCAAGUAUGUUCACAAAAAAUUUCAU